AGAGGGAACUGCUCUGUAUCCCACUUCUGACACCACGUAAUAUAAACUAAUAAGAAAUAAAACCAACGCUGUGGAUCAGCAAACAAAAGAGAAGAUAUUUUAGCCCAGCAUGAUGGCUCAUGCCUGUAAUUUCAAUACUUUGGGAGGCUUAGGUGGGAGGAUCACAUGAACCCAGGGGUUAGAGACCAGCCUGGGCAACAUAGUAAGACAUUGUCUCUACAAAAAAUAAAAUUAGCUGGGCACGGUGGCGCAUGCCUGUAGUCCCAGCUUGGGAGGCUGAGGUGGGAGGAUCACUUGAGCCUGGGAGGUGGAGGUUGCAUUGUGAUUACUUAAAUUACAAAGUUAAUCUAUUUCUUUAUCUCCUCCAGAACACAGACCUGUCAUAUGUUUUAAUAUUAUCUUUUUUCUUUCAAAUUUAACUAUUACUAAACAUUAUCAUUGUUUUAUAGUUAAUAUUUUAUACUUACCCAAAGUCUUUUUUACAUGUUGUUUCUUCUUGUAGCUUCAUUUAGGAUCAAUUUCCUUCUAGCUAAAAUAUAUACUUUAGAUUUUUCCUAUAGGGAGAGUUUGCUGGCGAAAGAGUGAGUUUUAUUUGUCUGAAACAAUUUUAUUUUGUCUUCAUUAAAACAAAUUUUAGGGCCGGGAGAGGUGGCUCACGCCUGUAAUCCCAGCACUUUGGGAGGCCAAGUCGGGCAGAUCACAAGGUCGGGAAUUCGAGACCAGCAUGGUGAACAUGGUGAAACCCCGUCUCUAUAAAAAAUACAAAAAUUACCUGGGCAUCAUGGCACAUGCCUGUAAUCCCAGCUACUCGGGAGGCUGAGGCAAGAGAAUCACUUGAACCUGGGAGGCAGAGGUGGCAGUGAGCUGAGAUUGAGCUCAAAAUUUUUUUUUUUUUUUACCGACAAGAGACAGCUAUGCUGAACUAGAUUGAUCAUCAAAGACGUACUAAAUUGUUAACCAGCCAUCAUCCAUUAUGAACUAUGCUAAAACCUUCCAGAUGUGUAAACUCACAGUAGUCCUUCUAAGCCUCUGCCUAAUCUCACCAAGACGGAACAUGAUUUUCCUAUUUGCUGGAUCUGUGUCUCCCAAUUGCAAUUCCUGAGACCCAGAUUAAAAUGCAUUUUCUUUUGUUUGCCACUCCACAGUGUUGGUUUUACUUCUUAUUAGUUGGCUGGCUCAAAAGUCCAAAAAGGCUUCACUCAAUGCGUGGAGCCCCAGUGGUCCUCCACGUGGCCUUUCUCUCUCCAUGUAGUCUCUUCUCUUCCAGUUGUCUUGGCUGAGCUUCUUCAAAGCAUAGCAUCUAGCUUCCUGAAACAAAAAUGGAAGCUUCCAGGCCCCUGAAAAUUUAAGCCUAGAACAGGAACAUAAAACACAACUAUACUGGGAAUAAAACCUUUCCAUCACUAAAUUAGGUUCAAGUGGUGGUGGGGGGAGGAAGUGGGCCUGCAAAUUUCCUGACAUUAGACAGUUUAACUAGAGGGAAAAAGAACAUGCUUUAUAUUCAUACAUGUGACAGCAUUAGAAAGCAGUAGCUUGCUGAACAGCUAGGGGUAAGGGUAUAUUACAACAACAAUUUAAUAGGCAGAAGGAGCGGGAAAUCAAGGGAAGUCGCAAAACCAGACGGAAUUCAAGGGAAGGAAACCGACUCCGCCUCUGAUGGCUGCAACAGUAUGCACAUUCAGGGAGGAAAGGAAUUAGCAGUGGUCAUCUUUCUGGACCAUCUACCACAGUGGCUAAAGUUAACACCUAGAAAGGAAGGUCGUGUUUUCAGCUUCUUUGACUGCUGCUCCAGGUGUCAAACCCUGAAGGGUGAGCUGACGCUAAAGACUGAGUGGUUAUUUUUUCCAGAAGAGGAGAAAGAUUGAAAAUGUGGCCGGCCGAUUCUCCCUGAUGAUCACACAGACAGACCUGCAUGACAGUCAAACAGACAGGCCUGCAUAGCACCCCAGUUACACAGACGAAUUUCCCCAGAGCUGCCUUAACAUUGAGCAAAUAGUUAAACCUAGGGAAAUUGGUGCCCAGACAGCAAAGCUAGAAAUGAAACAUAUGGUCAGUAGGAGCCUUGCGUGGGCUUCUCCCUAACCUGGAGCAAACCAAAAUAAUAGAGACAGUCUUUCAUUCCUAGUGCCAGGACCCGUCUCGGGUCAACGAAAUCUGAGACAGUCAAGGUAACAGAGGCAGCUGUUCGAAUAGAUUCAUUGGAGAGUCUAAGGCAGCCCUCCAGACCAAGCUGUAAAGCAGAUAAGAUAGAAAUAAUCACUCUGGUACCACAGUAGACAGGCCUUGUAGGUACUGGGCCGCUCACAGCUUAAUCCGACUUAGAAAGCAUUUUUGCCUCUGACCUUCUAGUUGAAACAAAAUUAGUUACCAGUAGACUUAGGCAAAUGCUACACUGCACACAGGCGCAUAACCCAGCCACCUGCUUUACCUCCCAAAGUGCUGGGAUUAUAGGCGUGAGUCAUUGCACCCGGCCUAUUUUUAAAGUUUUAUUUAUUUUUUUGAGACUGGGUUAUGAGACUGGCUAAUUUUUAUUUUUGGUAGAGAUGGGGUUUCACCAUAUUGCCCAAGCUGAUCUUGAACUCCUUGGCCUCAGAUGAUCCACCCGCCUUGGCCUCCCAAAGUGUUGGGAUUAGAGGCGUGAGCCACUGCAACCAGCCUAGGGAAAUAAUUUAACUAGAGAGAAAGACUAUUGUAAUAGUGUAUUAGUCGGUUCUCAUACUGCUAUGAAGAACUGCCCUAGACUGGGUAAUUUAUAAAGAAAAGAGGUUUAAUUGACUCACACUUCUGCAUGGCUGGGCAGGCCUCAGGAAACUUACACUCAUGGCAGAAGACAUCUCUUCACAGGGAGGCAGGAAGGAGAAGUGCUGAGCAAAGGGAGAUCUCGUGAGAACUCACUCAUUAUCAUGAGAACAGCAUGGGGGAACCACCCCCAUGAUCCAAUUACCUCCACCUGGUCUCUCCAUUGACACAUGGGGAUUACGGGGAUGACAAUUCAAGAUGAUAUUUGGGUGGGGACACAAAGCCUAACCAUAUCAAAUAGGGAGAGCACUCUGAACUCAGAAAUGUAUAAGCAUCUCAAACUCAAACAGAAAAAAGUUUCCUUUUAGGGUAGGGGAGAGGAAGCAGAGAUAAGAGCCUCUUUUAAGGGGAAGCUAGAUAAGUAAGAAGAAAUGACCAGUAGAUCUGACAGGAAAGUGGGCUCGAUGUGAUUAGCCGACUCCCAGGAGAAGCUGAUAAAGGGCAAGUUCUACUUCUUUUUGCUCAGAUCUGGAGGCAAGCAGAGUUCAGGGGCCCAUAGGAAAAAGAGAAGGCUUUGGUUAAGACAAAGCAGAGGGUAAGAAAUGGGCAAUUGUGAAUGCUUAGUUAGAAAAUACAGGCUGGGCACAGUGGCUCAUGCCUGUAAUACCAACACUUUGGGAGGUCGAGGUGGGUGGAUCACGAGGUAAGGAGAUUGAGACCAUCCUGGCUAAAAUGGUGAAACCUUGUCUCUACUAAAAAUAUAAAAAAUUAGCUCGGCAUGGUGACAUGUGCCUGUAAUCCCAGCCUUCAACCCAGGAGGCGGA
rnacentral:lncRNA from 1 species